rnacentral:rRNA from 1 species
AAGCUCGUUGAAUUUCGGGAUUAGUACGUCGGUCGUGCCUUAGGUACGUACUGGUGUUACUGGUUCCUACCUUCUGACGAACCAUCAUGUCAUUAAUUUGGUGUGGUGGGGAAUCAGGACAGUUACUUUGAAAAAAUUAGAGUGUUUAAAGCAGGCUCGCGCUUGAAUACAUUAGCAUGGAAUAAUGAAAUAGGACGUUGAUCCUAUUUUGUUGGUUUCUAGGAUUGACGUAAUGAUUAAUAGGGAUAGUUGGG